AAAACUCACCCUAAAACUGUCUUAUCAGAAUUCCAGGGCACCUGGCACAUGGAGCCUUAUGGGAGCUGAGUGACCUGUCUAGAAAGUGCACAGAACGUCACUGCUUUUUCUUCCUGUCCAUCUGGCUGUCUGUAUUAUUUGCAGUGUUCUUUAUAACAAAACGAGGGAAGCCACCCAGGAACCAAGAGAACACUGCCUGCUGAGGGAAACAAUGAGCUCAUUUCUUCUGAAAGUUGCUGGCUGCGGUGCUGAGACCACUGAGAACACAGCAGCUGUUUGUAGACUCUCCUAAUUGGCACAAGACUAUUGUCUGGGUUUGUACUCCAUUACUGGCAAAAGUA